rnacentral:rRNA from 1 species
ACGCACGCUGGCGGCGUGCUUAACACAUGCACGUCGAGCGGUAAGGCCUUUCGGGGUCCACGAGCGGCGAACGGGUGAGUCACACGUGGGUGAUCUGCCCUGCACUUCGGGAUAAGCCUGGGAAACUGGGUCUAAUACCGGAUAUGACCUCCUAUCGCAUGGUGGGUGGUGGAAAGAUUUAUCGGUGCAGGAUGGGCCCGCGGCCUAUCAGCUUGUUGGUGGGGUAAUGGCCUACCAAGGCGACGACGGGUAGCCGACCUGAGAGGGUGACCGGCCACACUGGGACUGAGACACGGCCCAGACUCCUACGGGAGGCAGCAGUGGGGAAUAUUGCACAAUGGGCGAAAGCCUGAUGCAGCGACGCCGCGUGAGGGAUGACGGCCUUCGGGUUGUAAACCUCUUUCAGCAGGGACGAAGCGCAAGUGACGGUACCUGCAGAAGAAGCACCGGCUAACUACGUG